GGGCCGGUAGCUCAGCUUGGUAUGCCUUGAAUGGGCCAUGGAGCGCCUGGUUCGCACCCAGGAGGCCCCGGGUUCGAAUCCCGGCCGGUCCACCA
rnacentral:tRNA from 1 species